AUUGAACGCUGGCGGAAUGCUUUACACAUGCAAGUCGAACGGCAGCACGGACUUCGGUCUGGUGGCGAGUGGCGAACGGGGUGAGUAAUAUAUCGGAACGUGCCCAGUCGUGGGGGGAUAACGUAGUGAAAAUUACGCUAAUACCGCAUACGAUCUAAGGAUGAAAGCGGGGGAUCGCAAGACCUCGCGCGAUUGGAGCGGCCGAUAUCAGAUUAGGUAGUUGGUGAGGUAAAGGCUCACCAAGCCCGCGAUCUGUAGCUGGUCUGAGAGGACGACCAGCCACACUGGAACUGAGACACGGUCCAGACUCCUACGGGAGGCAGCAGUGGGGAAUUUUGGACAAUGGACGCAAGUCUGAUCCAGCCAUUCCGCGUGCAGGAUGAAGGCCCUCGGGUUGUAAACUGCUUUUGUACGGAACGAAAAGGUCUCUCCUAAUACGAGGGGUUCAUGACGGUACCGUAAGAAUAAGCACCGGCUAACUACGUGCCAGCAGCCGCGGUAAUACGUAGGGUGCAAGCGUUAAUCGGAAUUACUGGGCGUAAAGCGUGCGCAGGCGGUUAUGUAAGACAGAGGUGAAAUCCCCGGGCUCAACCUGGGAACUGCCUUUGUGACUGCAUAGCUAGAGUACGGUAGAGGGGGAUGGAAUUCCGCGUGUAGCAGUGAAAUGCGUAGAUAUGCGGAGGGAACACCGAUGGCGGAAAGGCA
rnacentral:rRNA from 1 species